rnacentral:lncRNA from 1 species
CGCACUCCAAGACUUCAACAGAAGGAAUGAAACCUUCCUUCUUACAACAACAAGGGAUUAGACUUCCCUUCAAGUGUAUACAAACACUUAGCACUCAAGAACAAAACUCUCUUAUAGAGUAGAUAUGAGUAGACUUAAGAACGCUCAAGAACAAAACAAUUUCUUCAAGAUUUUGGCUCUCAAAAGCUAUGAAGUAUGAAUGAUUUGUAUGCAAUGAAAGUAUAAUAGAUUUCUGAAGAAUUGUUAUGGAAAUGAGAGGUUUUGGGGUCUAUUUAUAGACCUCAAGGAUCAAGUGACCGUUGCUCAAUAGUUAGACAAGAAUUUUGAGUUUAAAGGUAGAAUAAUCGAUUAUCUUAAGUGCAUAAUCGAUUAUCUUACUUCAACGUUCAAAAAACUAGUCGUUGGAUGGCAACGGUAACUAGAUAAUCGAUUAUUCUUCAAGGGAUAAUCGAUUAUUCAACUAGAUAAUCGAUUAUUUUCAAAAGGAUAAUCGAUUAUUCAACCUCUCUGUAUGUUCGGGCUGGAAACACAGGAUAAUCGAUUAUCAGACAAAGAUAAUCGAUUAUCUGAAGGUGAUAAUCGGUUAUCAGAACCUUCUGUAAGUUGGGGUUUUGCUACAUUAGCAAGAUAAUCGAUUAUUGGAACAUGAUAAUCGAUUAUUUAACCUUGAAAACCAACCCAAAGUUUUGCUACAUUAGCAAGAUAAUCGAUUAUUGCAACAUAAUAAUCGAUUAUUUAACCUUGAAAACCAACCCAAACAUCAAAGUGUUCCAAAUCAAAAACCAAGUGUCAGAAAAGUUUGUUUAUGGUAUAAAAAGUGAGAACCAAGACUUAGUUCUUAAAAUAAUGAUUUGGAAUAUGUUUAAAUAUGCCCAGAAGUGAAAACCAAUUAUAAUAUUUCAAAAACCAUUUUGGCUAAAAUGAAAACGUCAAAAGCCAUGACGACGUCUAGCCGACGCCGACGGUAGCCGGCGGUCAGAUUUUUGGUUUGGGUAUGGUCACAAAAUUUUGUUCAAUGAAAAAUAUUUAUGAUAUGCAUGAUUUGAUAAAAUGAUUUUAGAGAGAAUCCAAGACUUGAAUCCAUUACCAGAUCAAGAUCACAAUGCAAACAACUCAAUAAUGUCUUCAAUACAUCUCUUGGUCUUGUUCUUGACUCUUCUCAACUUGGACUCUUACUUUGUCCGUUAGCCAUAAUUCUCGCCUUGUUUGUUCAAUGAUAUCUUCGUAUUCAUGACGAUUUGGUCUUUGUCAGCUUUGCAUCCACGUCGGUUUGUCACGAUUUGGCAUUUGUCAACUUUGCAUCCACGUCGGUUUGUCAUUCAUCAAAACCUACAAAAACAAACACGACUUUAGUUCAACGUCUUUGAAAGUGUGUUCCAACACAUCAUAAUCAAUAUGAACCGAUUGACCUUCUUCUGGGGAGUUAAAUUCCGAUGGGUUUCCAUG